GCGGGUAGGUCUAUCCGGUUGUACCAGAUACUGAGUUGGUAACCGGAUACCCCCAUCCCGCUU
rnacentral:pre_miRNA from 1 species